rnacentral:rRNA from 1 species
UACGUAGGGGGCUAGCGUUGUCCGGAAUCAUUGGGCGUAAAGCGCGCGUAGGCGGUCAGGUAAGUCCGGUGUGAAAGUCAAAGGCUCAACUGGGGAGUGUCGUGCGAUACGGGCGGACUGGAGGCCAGUGAGGGGGAUGGCGGAAUUCCGGGUGUAGUGGUGGAAUGCGUAGAGAUCCGGAGGAACACUAGCGGCGAAGGCGGCAUCCUGGACUGGUCCGUGACACUCAGGAGCGGAAAGCGUGGGGAGCGAUCCGG